UACGUAGGGCGCAAGCGUUAUCCGGAAUUAUUGGGCGUAAAGAGCUCGUAGGCGGUUUGUCGCGUCUGCUGUGAAAACCCGAGGCUCAACUCCGGAUCUGCGGUGGGUACGGGCAGACUAGAGUGAUGUAGGGGAGACUGGAAUUCCUGGUGUAGCGGUGAAAUGCGCAGAUAUCAGGAGGAACACCGAUGGCGAAGGCAGGUCUCUGGGCAUUAACUGACGCUGAGGAGCGAAAGCAUGGGGAGCGAACAGG
rnacentral:rRNA from 1 species